AGUUCAUAAUAACUUGACCUUAUUAGACACCUGUAAUCCUUGAUGCAGGUUGAGGAAAUCUGUGGGAAAUCGUCCUUCCCAUGAACUUGUGAAAGCGUCAAUGAUGUUGUUUAACUCUUGUAGAUGUGGGCGUUGUAGCAUUGUUUACACGGACCAUCUGAUUCAAACUAUUUUGUGUAUAUUUUCAACAGUUACCCUGUAGAAGAAAACAGAGCUUUGCGGCAGUAAAUAAUUGAACAGGAAUUGACCUCAUGUCAAACUGAUAAAUGGCCGGG